rnacentral:rRNA from 1 species
AACGAACGCUGGCGGCAUGCCUAACACAUGCAAGUCGAACGAGACCUUCGGGUCUAGUGGCGCACGGGUGCGUAACGCGUGGGAACCUGCCCUUAGGUUCGGAAUAACUCCCCGACAGGGGUGCUAAUACCGGAUAAUGUCUUCGGACCAAAGAUUUAUCGCCUUUGGAUGGGCCCGCGUUGGAUUAGCUAGUUGGUAGGGUAAAAGCCUACCAAGGCGACGAUCCAUAGCUGGUCUGAGAGGAUGAUCAGCCACACUGGGACUGAGACACGGCCCAGACUCCUACGGGAGGGAGCAGGGGGGAAGAUUGGACAAUGGGCGAAAGACGGAGGCAGCAAGGCCGCGUGAGUGAUGAAGGCGUGAGGGUUGUAAAGCUCUUUUACCCGGGAUGAUAAUGACAGUACCGGGAGAAUAAGCUCCGGCUAACUCCGU